AUGGCGCGCAUCAAAAUGGAGGCCACGCUCCAGACAUCCGACAGCCGACAGGUGGCAAACCACCGACAUAUUGCUGCCCCAUUGGCGAAAGAAGCUGAAUCACGCUGCCCAAGACCGACGACACAGCGUGCAGAUGCAGGAAACUUUCACGGGAAUAAGAGGCAGCGGCGCAGCUCGGCGGGACACUAUGACAACACCCUGUUCUUCAACCCUCUCAUUGGGAACAUCUUCGCAGACGGAACACUGAUGUAUCAUGUGUUGCAUCUGGGAGUUUGGUAUCACUACAUCAUCAUACGGCCAGUCGGUUUCGAGGAUGGUGGGCCGGAGGCAAUUCUAUUCUUCGUGUAG
rnacentral:rRNA from 1 species